UACGGCGGGGGCUAGCGUUGUUCGGAAUUACUGGGCGUAAAGCGCACGUAGGCGGCUUUGUAGGUUAGAGGUGAAGGCCCGGGGCUCAACUCCGGAAUUGCCUUUAAGACUGCAUCGCUAGAAUUGUGGAGAGGUAAGUGGAAUUCCGAGUGUAGAGGUGAAAUUCGUAGAUAUUCGGAAGAACACCAGUGGCGAAGGCGACUUACUGGACACAUAUUGACGCUGAGGUGCGAAAGCGUGGGGAGCAAACAGG
rnacentral:rRNA from 1 species